ensembl:lncRNA
AGAGAGAAGUGAGAAUGGAUAUGUGAUCUUUAUACGUUUUAUUUAAUCUGCCCCAAAUUGAGGAGCCUUUAUCCUGCACUUGGUAGCUGCUGUUUCUUUCAGUCAUUUGCAGGAUACGCCCAGAUUAUGCUGUACGUGUGUGUGUGUGUGUCUUCUUCCUCCAUGAGGCUACAUGACCAGCCUGUCCAGGACCUGGUGUGCCCAUCCAUGCGGCUGGGCCGGCUGGUGCUGACCUAGGAAAACUGACUGAUUUGACAACAAUUUGCUUCCCGAGCGCAGAGGUGGCAUGCAUGCAAAUCUCCACUUUGCUGCUGUUUCUCCUCCCUGGAAAGCAUCCCAAAUGACUGAGGCAGAAACAGCUCCUCCAAACACGCCAAGCCACGACUAGAACACUUGUUUCAAGCGCCAGAUUGCCAAGCAGAGUCCCUCGACCCAAAAAGACAGCAGCUCGAUAGGAUUCACGGGCCUGUAAGUCUUUUGCUGUUUCCACUGCAUCUAGACCCGGGCUUCUCGCUGUGGGUAUUUGGGGCCAGGUCACUCUUUGCUGUAUGGGGCCAUCCUGUGCCUUCAGCAGCGUCCCUGGUCCCUACCCACCAGAUGCCAGGGUGGCCCCCUUCCCCUCCCAGUGGGGACGAUCAAAAAAUUCUCCAAAUAAUGCCAAAUUGCCCCUGGCAAGUGAAAACCACUGAGAAUGACUGUUCCAGAUCUUGAGGACAGGAAAAUCAAGAAAGCCCUUCACCUUUUUUCCCCCCACACACCCCCCACCCCAGCACUAAAUAUGGUUAAUUCAAGCCCGUAGGCUAAAUAGUCAAAAUUGCCUAAG